UACGUAGGGUGCGAGCGUUGUCCGGAAUUACUGGGCGUAAAGCGUGCGUAGGCGGUUCGUUAAGUCUGUUGUGAAAGCCCCGGGCUCAACCUGGGAAUGGCAAUGGAUACUGGCGAGCUAGAGUGUGUCAGAGGAUGGUGGAAUUCCCGGUGUAGCGGUGAAAUGCGUAGAGAUCGGGAGGAACAUCAGUGGCGAAGGCGGCCAUCUGGGACAACACUGACGCUGAGGCACGAAAGCGUGGGGAGCAAACAGG
rnacentral:rRNA from 1 species